rnacentral:rRNA from 1 species
UACGUAGGGGGCUAGCGUUGUCCGGAAUCAUUGGGCGUAAAGCGCGUGUAGGCGGUCCGGUAAGUCCGCUGUGAAAGUCGGGGGCUCAACCCUCGAAUGCCGGUGGAUACUGUCGGGCUAGAGUGCGGAAGAGGCGAGUGGAAUUCCUGGUGUAGCGGUGAAAUGCGCAGAUAUCAGGAAGAACACCAACGGCGAAGGCAGCUCGCUGGGACGGUACUGACGCUGGGACGCGAAAGCGUGGGGAGCGAACAGG